rnacentral:tRNA from 1 species
UUGCUGGUGGUCCAAUGGGUAAGACUCUGCACUCCCAAUGCAUCAGGCCCAGGUUCGAUCCCUGGUUGGGGAA